GACGAACGCUGGCGGCGUGCUUAACACAUGCAAGUCGAGCGAGGCCCAUCCUUCGGGGUGGUGCCCUAGCGGCGAACGGGUGAGUAACACGUGGGCAACCUGCCCUCAGCUCUGGGAUAACUCCAAGAAAUUGGUGCUAAUACCGGAUGUGACCGCUGACCGCAUGGUCUGGUGGUGGAAAGAUUCAUCGGCUGAGGAUGGGCCCGCGGCCUAUCAGCUUGUUGGUGGGGUAAUGGCCCACCAAGGCGACGACGGGUAGCCGGCCUGAGAGGGUGACCGGCCAGAGUGGGACUGAGAGACGCCACAGGCCCUGACGGGGGGCGGCGGGGGGGAAUAUGGCACAGGGGGCGAACGCCGGACGCAGCGCCGCGGGGUGGGGGAGGCCGGCCUUCGGUUUUGAACCCUCUUCGAGGGGGGGCAAAGCAAAGGUGGCGGUACCUACAAAAAAAGCCCCGGCAAACUCCGUC
rnacentral:rRNA from 1 species